AUUGAACGCUGGCGGCAGGCCUAACACAUGCAAGUCGAACGAGUGGCGGACGGGUGAGUACUGUCUGGGAAACUGCCUGCUGGAGGGGGAUAACUACUGGAAACGGUCGCUAAUACCGCAUACCAUCAGCUGAGCCCACAUGGGAUUCGCUGGUUGUUGGGGUAACGGCUCACCCAGGCGACGCUCCCUAGCUGGUCUGAGAGGAUGACCAGCCCAACUGGAAUUGAGACACUGCCCAGACUCCAACGGGAGGCAGAAGUGGGGAAUAUUGCACAAGGGGCGUAAGCCUGAUGCAGCCAUGCCGCGUGUAUGAAGAAGGCCUUCGGGUUGUAAAGUACUUUCAGCGUGGAGGCGUUACCCGCAGAAGAAGCACCGGCUAACUCCGUGCCAGCAGCCGCGGUAAUUC
rnacentral:rRNA from 1 species